GCUUACGGCCACACCUCCCUGAGCACGCCGAUCUGUCUGAUCUCGGAAGCUAAGCAGGGUCGGGCCCCGGUUAGUACUUGGAUGGGAGACCGCCUGGGAAUACCAGGUGCUGUAAGCU
rnacentral:rRNA from 1 species